CUUUCUUUUUCUUUUACUGGUACUAAGUUUCAAGUCCGACCGAACAAUUAUGUCAAAAAAGUAAAACGAAUUGAGAUAUAGUUGAUAGAUUGAUGCCGAUUAAAAUUGUAACAAUUCCAGGUCAUCCAUGGGAGAUGGGCCAUGCUUGGGGCACUGGGUUGCAUUACUCCAGAAGUUCUCGAGAAAUGGGUGAAAGUGGACUUCAAGGAACCAGUAUGGUUCAAAGCUGGAGCCCAAAUCUUCAGUGAAGGAGGACUCGACUAUUUGGGCAACCCAAACCUUGUCCAUGCUCAGAGCAUUCUAGCAGUGUUGGGCUUCCAAGUAGUUCUAAUGGGCCUUGUAGAAGGUUUUAG
rnacentral:lncRNA from 1 species